rnacentral:rRNA from 1 species
UACGGAGGGGGCUAGCGUUGUUCGGAAUUACUGGGCGUAAAGCGCGCGUAGGCGGAUCUGCAAGUCGGGGGUGAAAUCCCGAGGCUCAACCUCGGAACUGCCUUCGAUACUGCGGGUCUCGAGUCCGGGAGAGGUGAGUGGAAUUCCUGGUGUAGCGGUGAAAUGCGCAGAUAUCAGGAAGAACACCCGUGGCGAAGGCGGCUCUCUGGGACGGUACUGACGCUGAGACGCGAAAGCGUGGGGAGCAAACAGG